rnacentral:rRNA from 1 species
GACGAACGCUGGCGGCGUGCUUAACACAUGCAAGUCGAACGGAAAGGCCCCUUUUGGGGUCCUCGAGUGGCGCACGGGUGAGUAACACGUGAGUAACCUGCCCUUGACUUCGGGAUAACUUCAGGAAACUGGGGCUAAUCCCUGCUAGGAAUCCUUGCUGCAUGGUGGGGGUUGGAAAGCUUCGGGGGCUUUGGAUGGACUCGCGGCUUAUCAGCUUGGUGGUGGGGUAGUGGCUUACCAAGGCUUUGUCGGGGAGCAGGCCUGAGAGGGCGAGCGGCCACAUUGGGACUGAGAUACGGACCAGACGCCGACGGGAGGCAGCAGUGGGGAAUAUUGCACAAGGGGCGGAAGCCUGAUGCAGCAACGCCGCGGGCGGGAUGACGGCCUUCGGGUUGGAAACCGCAUUCAGCAGGGGCGAAGCUUGUGGUGACGGUACCUGCAGAAGAAGCACCGGCUAACUACGUG